CCCUUAGAUGUUCUGGGCCGCACGCGCGCUACACUGACGAAUGCAACGAGCUUAUAACCUUGGCCGAAAGGUCUGGGUAAUCUCCAAAUUUCGUCGUGAUGGGGAUAGAUUAUUGCAAUUAUUAAUCUUCAACGAGGAAUGCCUAGUAAGCGCAAGUCAUCAGCUUGCGUUGAUUACGUCCCUGCCCUUUGUACACACCGCCCGUCGCUCCUACCGAUUGAAUGGUCCGGUGAAAAUUUCGGAUACCGGCGUUGCUGGCGGUUCGCCGCCGGCGACGCUGGUAGAAGAUCUUUAAACCUUAUCAUUUAGAGGAAGGAGAAGUCGUANCA
rnacentral:rRNA from 1 species